GACGUAGGAGGCGAGCGUUGUCCGGAUUCAUUGGGCGUAAAGAGCGCGCAGGCGGCUUGGUAAGUCGGAUGUGAAAUCCCGAGGCUCAACCUCGGGUCUGCAUCCGAUACUGCCCGGCUAGAGGUAGGUAGGGGAGAUCGGAAUUCCUGGUGUAGCGGUGAAAUGCGUAGAGAUCAGGAAGAACACCGGUGGCGAAAGCGCUCUGCUGGACCUUAACUGACACUGAGGGACGAAAGCUAGGGGAGCGAAUGGG
rnacentral:rRNA from 1 species